UUCGGGUAGUAAGGGGACGGCGAGCGCUCGGGAGCCGCCAGGAUCUCCGGAGCAGGCGGCUGUCGGACCCCGCUCUUCUCGGGGCCGGCGUUAGGUCGCCGCCGGGCUCCCCCGGCUGUGCGGAGCCGAUACGGCGCCGCCGCCGCCGCCCGGCUGCCGUCGCGUUUUCGGAGGCGGCUGCCGCUCAGACCCCCGAGUUCUCGCACAGCCCCGGGGUGCUCUCAGCCCCCCUCACCCUCGGGAUUUCUUUCAGCGGGUGCUUCAGUUCUUCAGGCUCUCUUCGGCUGAGCGUGGGCUGCAGCAGAGGCUCUCAUCGGCCCGAAGCAGUGAGCUCGUGGAAGCGGUGAGUGUUUGAGAGUCGCUCGGUAAGAUCUCUCGUGCUGGGGCUCCUGUAGGGUUGCUGCUCGACUGCCUCCGUGUCUUUGGGAUCGGCACGGCGCCGCCGCUGGGCUCCCGCGUGGCUUUUUAGUAGGACCGGCACGGGGCCGCCGCCCGAGACCGAGCACGAUCCCGGGGUGGCCUCGGCCACUGCGGAGGGUUUUGCGGGUGCUCUCACCCAUCCCGUUUCCAGCGGUGGGAGCGAGCAGGUUGGGACCGUGGUUUUUUUUUUUUCCCCGCCUCUUCCUUCCCGUGUAACUGCAGGAGCACGAUUUAGGUUCCCACCGUGGAGACCUGGCAGGGCAGCUCGCACGACUGGAGUGCUGUCGUGGAUGGCUUUCUGCCUUUUAGGAAAGACAGACCGGCCAGGCGGUGGAGUCUCUCUUCGAGGGAGAGAACGGGAACGUAUCGAGCUCCACCUGGGGGUGAAUGAAGAACCAGCGGAGCGUUUGUGCGUGAGGCUGAAGAGGCAGCUGGAAGUGGUGCCCACAGCUGUGAGGCCAGUUCUCAUGGUAGGCUCCAGGAGUUUCCUGCAAUGUGUCAAAGGUAAGAUCUUCUGACACAGGUGAUGAAGGAGGCAUUGAGGAGAGGGGCUGCUGGAGCUCCCUAUUGCAGAAGAGCCAUUUGGGGACAGGAAGGCCAGGGGCAGCCUGGAGCGUGCCAGUCGUGAGACCACAGCGUUUGGGAUCUUGUGUGGAAGCUGCAAAGCAAUGAGUAGGAUUGAAACACUGGACUUAGAGGGAGCCAAGUUUGUCCUCUUGAAGGGCCUACUUGGAGGUAACCCUUGCUCAAGCAUAGGAAGGGGUCCUGUGAAUGCUGGAGCAUUACUUCGUCCAUGCUGAGGUGCGCUGCGUCCCAAGGAGGAAGGAACUGCGCAGGAAUGGUGGGAGACCUGCAGGGCUGACUGAGGAACUUGAAGGGGAGAAGGAAGAGAGGCUGAGGAAGGCCAAGUCCCUCUGAGUAUCAGCUUUGGGAGGGAGGUCAGGGCUGAUGGAAGUUUGUCAACAGGAGAGACUGGAGAAAUUGCAGGCCUGUGCUUCACAAGGCAAGUAAUGGAGGAUGGAGGAUGUGCUGGAUGCCUCUUGGGUUUCAGUGGUUUCUGCUGAGAGUGCUCCUGGGGAACCUGGGGUCCUGGUGGAGAGAGUCCCUGAGGAAGGAAGGAUGUCUUCCCCUCAGUUGCGGAGGAGCUGGUCAAAAGUGGUUCAGGCAGAAAGGAGGCCAGCAAAUGCCUGAGCUGUAGAGGGCUAUGCCUGUGCCCGCUGAGAGCUGGCAGCGGUGACUGGCAAAUGGCGCUCUCUGUCACUUUUCCCUGCUGUUUCCUGUGGGAAAGGUACCUGAAGACUGGAGGAUGGCGGAUGCCACCGCAGCCUUCAGAAAGGGUGUGGAGGAUGGCGUGUGCAACUUGGAGGUAGGUUGGCCUCACCUCACCUCUGUUCCUGGGGAGGUGACGCAACAGCUUGUUGCAGGUGUCAUUGCCAUGUGACCGGAGGAGAAGGAAUUUGCAAGGAGCCGUCCAGGUGGAUGGACAGAGGAGAAGUCAUGCUGGACCAAAAGGGUGAAGGCUGCAGAGAGGCUUGGCUGGAGCAGGUGUGCAGUUUUCCCAGGGGUGGGAUGAAGGAGGUUCAGGCUGGAGGCAGGAUCCUGGCGGUGUGAGUGGGGCGCCCCUGUGGAGCAAGGGUGGAAGGUGCGUGGCAGGUCCUGUCCCGGAGGAGUGGAGUUAAGGGUCCUGGCGUGGCUGAUGUCCUGCAUGGAAGAUGGAGAUCCUGGGAGCUGCGAGGAGGAGGAGCAGAGCCAGCAGUGGCUCCUGUGUGGCGAUGGCUGCUUUGUGUGGUGCUCCUGGGCUGGAAGGAGGAGGAGAAAAAAGUUUUUAGUGUGGUUCUUCAAAGCUCAGUUUCCCUUCAGCAAGAAGCUAUGGGGAGCUUCUAGGUCUAAUGCUGUUCCUCUGCUUUUGAGCUGAAUUUCUGCACGGCAGCCUUUCUCGAAUGCGGUACGGCUUCCCUGGCUUGAAGAUGGGUGUGCUGUCCUGAGGGAGGAGCAGUGUUGGCUGUCUUACAGUGACCUUCUGCUUUCCUUUAAGAAGAGUCCACUAAGAACUGUAUCGGGUUUCUCAGUAGGUAACUCAGGAGAGGGCUUCUCGGUGAAAUCCUUUGUGUUGAAUUGCAGUAAGUUGAGUAUGUGAACCUUCCUCCCAAACUGAGACCGAACGCCAGCAAAAAUGCCAAAUAUGUUGUCCUGUUUCCCUUUAUAACAGAAGAUGUGGUACUUUGCUGGGGUUACGCCUUUGUGUUCAAUGUUUGUAUGCAGUAUAUUGUAUCCUCAUGUGGGAGUCUGCCGUUAUUAACUGCACUGUUAAUAACUGUUAUUAUUAAUAUAUUAAUAUAAACUGUAAAUUAAUAACAAAAACUGUAAUUAUUAAUAAAUUUACAGUUUAUAAUCCAGUUGUGCUGUGAUAGAAGUUCAGCAGCUGGAUAAUGCAGGAUAGAAAAUGGAGUUGACAGAGAUGCAAAACUACUCUCCUACUGCCUUGACUUGAACUGUGUCUCAGUGUGCUAUUACUCUGCCUCCUUAGUGCAAGCAGAUGUACCAUGAGGAAGGGCUGUUUUCUGAUGUGGGAUUUAGUUCUUGGGCCUGCUUUCCUGACAAGGGUUUUCUUUACCUACUCCCAUGGAUGAUAAAUGCUUUGAACUAGACCAGAGGAUAAGACUUCCUGCUUUUGUAACCCAGGCUUUCUCUUGAGCAGGAGGCUGUCACUGGAACACACAGGAACAGUCAGAGCAAUUACUGCAUUGGACUGUCUGAGCUGAAAGUUGAUGGUGCAUCCCUCUGGUAGAGGGAAUGCAAAAAAGAGAGGUCUUGAAUCAGUAGUGAGUUUAUUGCUGAAGAGCAAAGAUUUAUAUCUCACCCUAAGCUGGGUGUUUUUCACUGCCACAUGCCCAGUCAUUUCACUAUGCCCAUGUUCUGCCUGGUACCACUCUGGCUACCUUCUACCACUAACAACCAGAAUGGCUGAGCAAGGAGUACUGUUGGCAGCUAGGAAGCCUAAAACAGCCAAAAAGCCCUUCUGUUGCUUCCUUGUGUGUUCUGUGGGGGUGCACAGUCAGAAGAGAGCUUCCACCAUGCAUACCAGUCCUUAUAAAGUAUCUUUCCUUCUGAACACCAGUACGGACUCCCUUUCACUGUCUC